rnacentral:misc_RNA from 1 species
UGUGGUUGGCUUCUACAUCAACUGAUGAUGAGAUGACAUCUGAGAGGUCAUUUUCUGGCUGUAUCCUCAAAGUUUAUUGUGACUUCCUAUUAUUUUUGCUUUUGGUAGCCAGGUUGAGUCACCAACUCGGCUAGUUGAUCCAUUACUUAAUUCAUACAGUGAUUUUUAAGACAGUGCAUAUGGCAACCAGCCUAGCUAUCUGGUAUCUUAUGAACAGCACUUUUUGAGCUAUAUCUGACCAAUUUGAACUGUGAUUUUAGGUCUAGCUUGGAUUUCUCGUGAGCCUUGUAUUUUUGCUUCGUCAUCUUAUGAUGGAAGAGUAAGACGCUUAUCAUUUAUCAUAGGGAGAAACAGUAGAAAUAAAAUUUUAUUCUCUUGUGGAGGAAAAAUAAACUUAGCAACGAUACUGUAGGAUUUGUGGCUGGUAGCUGAUUGACUGAAGAAACUGUCCUAAGCAAACACAAGUUGAUAUUGUCAUGUUCUCAGUCACAAUAUGGGGAUUUUUUUUUUGACACCCGACCGAUAGAUCUUACUUUAGGGAGUGAGAUUGCAUGAGGAACUGAUCCAUUACAUGUCAACGCUCUUUCAACGAUUUGUUCAUGUAUCAUAGGUAGUUGUAGAAUCAGUAAAGCCUUUCCUCUACAAAAAGUGAAUUCACUAUAGUCUGCCCUUGUGCGACAACUCUCUUCUGGUUUUUCCACUACCUAAUGUAAAUUGUUAGAUAGGACCACGCAGAAGAACCAGACCUAAAAUAUGAUAUUGGAGGGUACCAUAGUGGCUCAACAAGAUGGAAUUGAUGCAAGUGGCCAUUGAAAUAAAGAUGGCCACUGAUUCUUUCUCCUUUCAUUUCAAGCUUUAUUCUUAUUUCGGACGUCGGGCUUAGGGAAGCAAAUUAAUGGAUUGCUGAAUAUAACCAUUUUCUUUUGUAGGCCAGCCCCUUCUUUAUUCGCCAUUGUUUGGCUAUUUACAAGCAUUGUGCUCUUGUGGAUGUCUCCGUUUAAUGUGAACGCGGUCUCCGUUAUUGUUUUUGAGAGAUACAUGUACAAGACAAGAUCAAGAUGUCCCUCUAAGAAAAGAGUCCAGUACGCAAGACCUGCCACCCAUGUUCUUUUCCUCGUUUCAUUUAUGAAAGUAACAUGAUUUAUAUUUGUUGCUAUUUUCAAAUAUAAAUGGUGCAAUUUUCUUAAAAAAAUGCAAUUGAAUUUAUUGAAAAGCCAAAAUUGUUAUAUUGCUAAGGCAACAUCACUUCCUCCGAGAGAUUGCCUUUUUGUUUUGCUGAUCUUGAAUAUGUCUAUUAAGAACUUAUUUUGUGCCACCGUUGUUUGUAUAAUAAAUAUAUUCUAAUUAUUAA